GUACCUAAUCGGAUUUAGCAUCCAA
rnacentral:snRNA from 1 species